rnacentral:lncRNA from 1 species
AGUACAUGGACAACUCAUCCUGGUAACAUGUCCUGUAGACACCCAGAGUUCAGAACUGCAGAGGACCCCAUAUCUACUCAGCCAGCAGGAGGCUAACCUUAACACCUGGCACUCUCCAGUGCCCAGGGCCAGGGCCUCAAGAAUUUUACCCACGAAAGUCUUAUCUGGGAUCUACAUGUAAUCCAGCCUGAUAGGACGAUACCAGGUCCCAGCAUCUCCCCAUGAACUGAUCCCACCUGCGAGUGGCCAGGGACAGACUUUGCAGGUCAGGCAGGAGUGGGUCUACUGUUUCUGCUUCCCAGGCAGACGUGUGUGGAGCAAGACUGUUUAUAGACAACGCCUUGCUGUAGCCAGAGGUGGUGGCUUAGCAGCAGCAGGAACGCCCUCCCUCAUUGCUUCACAAGCUGUAAGUUUCUAAGAUGCGCCCUUGGCCUCAGCGGGCAGAUAAGCACCUGCACUGGAGAGGGAACCCUUGAUCAAGGGCUGAUAAGCUCAGGAAAGGAGAAAAAAAAAACCACCCCAAUAACAAGAAAAAGCCGAGC